GGUGCAUGCGUCGGGGAUCGGUUCCUUGUGGUCAUAAACAAAACGACUCUCGGCAACGGAUAUCUUGGCUCUCGCAUCGAUGAAGAACGUAGCGAAAUGCGAUACUUGGUGUGAAUUGCAGAAUCCCGUGAACCAUCGAGUCUUUGAACGCAAGU
rnacentral:rRNA from 1 species